GAAGUGCGACAAGUGUCAUGACUUGCAGAUUCCCGAGAGCUGACAAAUUUCUGAAUGCAAAUGGCGGCUGUCCAACAGCCAUGUAUUGCAGAGUGUAGUUGUUCAUACUCAUCAUCCUCUCUCACAUUGACACAUGUGGGAGCACUGGGAUCUGCGCUUGCGCGUAUCUCGCGAGCGUGAAAAUCGGGAGUACAACUCGUCCAGCCGCGCUUGCGCGGAUGUACGAGUUGGCAACUUCGGAAGAUGCGCGCGCUCUGCGUGUGUAUACAAGAAGUUGAUGCGCCCGUGGAGAGUGGACACACGCUCCAACGAUUUCCGCAGCCACCUCUGCAAUGCAGGAGAACCCGCUGAACUUAA
rnacentral:misc_RNA from 1 species